CGGGACGGGUGAGUAACGCGUGGGUAACCUGCCUCAUACAGGGGGAUAACAGUUAGAAAAUGGCUGCUAAUACCGCAUAAGACCACAGUACUGCAUGGUACAGUGGUAAAAACUCCGGUGGUAUGAGAUGGACCCGCGUCUGAUUAGGUAGUUGGUGAGGUAACGGCCCACCAAGCCGACGAUCAGUAGCCGACCUGAGAGGGUGACCGGCCACAUUGGGACUGAGACACGGCCCAG
rnacentral:rRNA from 1 species